GGAUAGCCGCCCGAAAGGACGGGUAAUACCGGAUACCCCCGGGCGCCGCAUGGCGCCCGGGCUAAAGCCCCGACGGGAGGGGAUGGCUCCGCGGCCCAUCAGGUAGACGGCGGGGUGACGGCCCACCGUGCCGACAACGGGUAGCCGGGUUGAGAGACCGACCGGCCAGAUUGGGACUGAGACACGGCCCAGACUCCUACGGGAGGCAGCAGUGGGGAAUCUUGCGCAAUGGGGGGAACCCUGACGCAGCGACGCCGCGUGCGGGACGGAGGCCUUCGGGUCGUAAACCGCUUUCAGCAGGGAAGAGUCAAGACUGUACCUGCAGAAGAAGCCCCGGCUAACUACGUGCCAGCAGCCGCGGUAAUACGUAGGGGGCGAGCGUUAUCCGGAUUCAUUGGGCGUAAAGCGCGCGUAGGCGGCCCGGCAGGCCGGGGGUCGAAGCGGGGGGCUCAACCCCCCGAAGCCCCCGGAACCUCCGCGGCUUGGGUCCGGUAGGGGAGGGUGGAACACCCGGUGUAGCGGUGGAAUGCGCAGAUAUCGGGUGGAACACCGGUGGCGAAGGCGGCCCUCUGGGCCGAGACCGACGCUGAGGCGCGAAAGCUGGGGGAGCGAACAGGAUUAGAUACCCUGGUAGUCCCAGCCGUAAACGAUGGACGCUAGGUGUGGGGGGACGAUCCCCCCGUGCCGCAG
rnacentral:rRNA from 1 species